GGGCAAUGCGGUUUACAUUCGUCGCGGUGAUCUGGGCCGACUGCGGUGGGGAUUAGUCGAACUAUACAUGAGUGAGUAACCGUGGGCAAUCUGCCCUGCACUCUGGGACAAGCCCUGGAAACGGGGUCUAAUACCGGAUACUGACCGUCACAGGCAUCUGUGACGGUCGAAAGCUCCGGCGGUGCAGGAUGAGCCCGCGGCCUAUCAGCUUGUUGGUGAGGUAACGGCUCACCAAGGCGACGACGGGUAGCCGGCCUGAGAGGGCGACCGGCCACACUGGGACUGAGACACGGCCCAGACUCCUACGGGAGGCAGCAGUGGGGAAUAUUGCACAAUGGGCGAAAGCCUGAUGCAGCGACGCCGCGUGAGGGAUGACGGCCUUCGGGUUGUAAACCUCUUUCAGCAGGGAAGAAGCGAAAGUGACGGUACCUGCAGAAGAAGCGCCGGCUAACUACGUGCCAGCAGCCGCGGUAAUACGUAGGGCGCAAGCGUUGUCCGGAAUUAUUGGGCGUAAAGAGCUCGUAGGCGGCUUGUCACGUCGGUUGUGAAAGCCCGGGGCUUAACCCCGGGUCUGCAGUCGAUACGGGCAGGCUAGAGUUCGGUAGGGGAGAUCGGAAUUCCUGGUGUAGCGGUGAAAUGCGCAGAUAUCAGGAGGAACACCGGUGGGCGAAGGCGGAUCUCUGGGCCGAUACUGACGCUGAGGAGCGACAGCGGUGGGGGGAGCGAACAGGAUUAGGAUACCCUGGUAGUCCCACGGCGUAAACGGGUGGGCCCUAGGUGUGGGCAACAUUCCACGUUGUCCGGUGCCCGCAGCUAACGCAUUAGUGGCCCGCCUUGGGAGUUACCGCCCGCCAAGCUAAACUUCAAGGAAUUGACGGGGUCGACAUGCGGCGUGACAUUGUGGCUUAUUGCGCGCACCGGAGAAUCUUACCAGGGUUGACAUAACCGGAAGCUUGGAUCACGGCGCCCCCUUGGACGGGUUACAGGUGACUUGGCUGUCUCACGCUUGUUGGAAGUGUUAUCGCAAGACACUUCGUGCCAAGGCCUUAUUG
rnacentral:rRNA from 1 species